GACGAACGCUGGCGGCGUGCCUAAUACAUGCAAGUCGAGCGAUGAAGAUUGGUGCUUGCACCAAUUUGGAGAGCAGCGAACGGGUGAGUAACGCGUGGGGAAUCUGCCUUUGAGCGGGGGACAACAUUUGGAAACGAAUGCUAAUACCGCAUAACAUCUUUAAACAUAAGUUUUAAGUUUGAAAGAUGCAAUUGCAUCACUCAAAGAUGAUCCCGCGUUGUAUUAGCUAGUUGGUGAGGUAAAGGCUCACCAAGGCGAUGAUACAUAGCCGACCUGAGAGGGUGGUCGGCCACACUGGGACUGUGACACGGCCCAAACUCCCACGGGAGGCAGCAGGAGGGCAUCUUCGGCCAUGGGCGAAAGUCUGACCGAGCAACGCCGCGUGAGUGAAGAAGGUUUUCGGAUCGGAAAACUCUGUUUGUAGGGAAGAACGUUGGUGGGAGUGGAAAGCUCAUCAAGUGACGGUAACUACCCAGAAAGCGACGGCUAACUACGUG
rnacentral:rRNA from 1 species